UUGCAGUCUGCAUAGUAUAAGGGCCUGGCUAAGACAAUCAAGGCACCGCUCUAUUAACCUCUUCCUCCAUGGCUAUCAGAGAUUUUGGAUAGAAACAGAG
rnacentral:sRNA from 2 species